rnacentral:rRNA from 1 species
UGGCUCAGAUUGAACGCUGGCGGCAGGCCUAACACAUGCAAGUCGAGCGGUAACAGAGAGUAGCUUGCUACUUUGCUGACGAGCGGCGGACGGGUGAGUAAUGCUUGGGAACAUGCCUUGAGGUGGGGGACAACAGUUGGAAACGACUGCUAAUACCGCAUAAUGUCUACGGACCAAAGGGGGCUUCGGCUCUCGCCUUUAGAUUGGCCCAAGUGGGAUUAGCUAGUUGGUGAGGUAAUGGCUCACCAAGGCGACGAUCCCUAGCUGGUUUGAGAGGAUGAUCAGCCACACUGGGACUGAGACACGGCCCAGACUCCUACGGGAGGCAGCAGUGGGGAAUAUUGCACAAUGGGCGCAAGCCUGAUGCAGCCAUGCCGCGUGUGUGAAGAAGGCCUUCGGGUUGUAAAGCACUUUCAGUCAGGAGGAAAGGUUAACGGUUAAUACCCGUUAGCUGUGACGUUACUGACAGAAGAAG